GACGAACGCUGGCGGCGUGCUUAACACAUGCAAGUCGAACGGAAAGGCCCUGCUUUUGUGGGGUGCUCGAGUGGCGAACGGGUGAGUAACACGUGAGUAACCUGCCCUUGACUUUGGGAUAACUUCAGGAAACUGGGGCUAAUACCGGAUAGGAGCUCCUGCUGCAUGGUGGGGGUUGGAAAGUUUCGGCGGUUGGGGAUGGACUCGCGGCUUAUCAGCUUGUUGGUGGGGUAGUGGCUUACCAAGGCUUUGACGGGUAGCCGGCCUGAGAGGGUGACCGGGCACAUUGGGAAUUGGGAAACGGCCCGAACCCUACGGGGAGCAAGAGGGGGGGAUUAUUGCACAAGGGGCGGAGGCCUGAGGCGGAAACGCCGGGGGGGGAAUAACGGCCUUCGGGUUGUAACCGGCUUUCGCCUGGAACGAAGCGUGGGGAAGGUAAUGGGUAAAGAAGCACCGGCUAACUACGUG
rnacentral:rRNA from 1 species